ensembl:lncRNA
AUGCCCAUGAAACUGCAGUUUGAUCAUCAGAAAAGCAAGAACAAGAAUAUGAAGAACAAACAGGAAAAGUCACAAGCUAAAGGGUCAAAAGAUACAAAUACAGUGAAACUUGUUGGAUGGGACAGCAUGGAGCUUCUGGGACAAAACUCUGAAGAGUCUCAUUCUGAUAAGCCAGAGAAGGUCCAGGAUGAGAAAACACCCGGACCCUAAACUCCACUAUGUGACAACGGUUCAGUCACUGUCCUGGACAACUUUCCUCCGUUGGCUUUUACACAUUUUGCGCAUCCUCCACGGCUGCACAUUUGGAGCUGCACAUGUAUUCCUGUAGCAAACAUAGAGUAUAUUUUUAUUCAUCCUCCUCAAAUGUAUUAUUUUCUGGUUUAAGUAGUUUUCUUUUGCCCCUUUAUAUUAUUGAUUUAAAUUAGUUUGAUGUUCUGUCAUUUGUCUGUUAUGUUGCAUUUUCUUACUGUUAGGUAUGACAUGCACACUGAAAAAAAUGAUUCAUUGAAUUUACCAAUUUUUUUUAUGCUAAGUGGUUGCAAUCAAUUAAUUUUAUCUAUAUUUAAAUAAACUAAUUUAGUUGAUUAACUUUCA